rnacentral:lncRNA from 1 species
GAUCUGCGCAUUAGGUGAGCUCAGGUUUAAAAUGCCAGUUGAUUGAGGUGUGGACUUGCGGAUGGCAUGAGAACAUUUAAGAGACAGUUGGUUAGCUUUAUGUUAACUUGAAACAUGGCAGAGUCGUUGGAAAGAGAAACCUCAACUGAGAAAAAUGCUGCUUCCAGAUUGUCCUGUGGGAAUAUUUUGAUUACUGAUCAAUGCGGGAGGGCCCAUCUGAAUGUGUGCUGCCACCCCUGGGCCNGUGGUCUUUCGGUAUNUGAAAAAGGCUGAGAGAACUAGCCAGAAAGCAACAUUCCUUCAGAGCUUCUAAAGUUCCUGCCUCAAGUUACUUUGAUGAUGGGCUGUGAUGUGGAAGUCUGAAUCUACAGACUUUUUCAUCUUCCUGUGAUAGCUGAUAGCAACCCAAAGAUGAUAGGUCACCGAAAUCGAAAUUACCUUCUAAUCUUCCUCCAGAAUUGUAAAAGGAGAAAAUUUUUGAUGUUCUUAAAGAUGGAUCCAUUAGCCUUAAUUUACUCUCAAGGACCCACUCUGGUACUAUUUGUUGUAGCUGUUAUUUAGUUGCUAGGACUUGAAAUCAGGACCUAGAACAUCCAGGCACAUCUGUUGGAACAUACUUCUUCAGGACUCCAGCUUAUACAGAAGACAAGCUGAAUCUCCUAGCCUCACAGGACUGAGCAACUACUAGACUCUUGGACUUCCCAUUCACAGCUGCCUAUUGGGUUGGUUGGACUGGAAAUUCCCUUAAUAUAUACAUUCCCUAAGUUCUGUGACUUUAGAGAAUCCUGACUAAUUCAUGAAAAAGGAUUUGAUACUACAAAUGACCUGUUUCUUACCAUACUUUUGCCUUAAUUUUUUCUUUUUAAAAAUUUGGGACAUGAUAUCAUUUGCAGCCANGGCUGACACUGAACUCAUGUUCCCCCUGUCUUGGACUUCCUGAGUGCUGGGAUCACAGGCAAGCAUCACCACUGUUAACUACCUUUGUCUAUUACUAUUACAACCUGUUUAUAAUAAUUGCCUAUGACGUUUGCUUGUUUGUAAUAUUCUAUUUCCUCAGUCUUGCAUUAUUCAUUCCAAUUUUACUACAAUAAAGACCUUUUCCUACUUACUUUUUUUGAAUGGAUUUGAUUAUAUAAGUAUGAAGGUACCUUUUAUUUUAUUUCAUGGGUUAUAAUUAAUUAUGAUCAACAUCAUUUUUCUAAAGUUAUCCAAAGCUAGGACAGCUUUCUAAUUUUCUGACAGAAAACUAACUUUUGUUAUUCAUAGAAUAUUUGCUUCUUUGCUAUAGACCGAUGAAGUAAUUUCAUAAUUGCUAACAAAUAUUUCAGAAAAGUAAAUGUUAAGAUUUNUUUUCUGGUAAGCUACCUCAAAAGUUUUUUGCACC